UACAGAGGUCUCAAGCGUUGUUCGGAUUCAUUGGGCGUAAAGGGCUCGUAGGUUGCCAACUAAGUCGGACGUGAAAUCCCUCGGCUCAACCGAGGAACUGCGCCCAAAACUACCGUGCUCGAGGAAGAUAGAGGUGAGCGGAACUUACGGUGGAGCGGUGAAAUGCGUUGAUAUCGUAAGGAACACCCGUGGCGAAAGCGGCUCACUGGGUCUUUUCUGACGCUGAUGCACGAAAGCUAGGGGAGCAAACGGG
rnacentral:rRNA from 1 species